UACGGAGGUGGCAAGCGUUGCUCGGAAUCACUGGGCGUAAAGGGCGCGUAGGCGGGGAGGUAAGUCGGGUGUGAAGUCCCUCGGCCCAACCGAGGAACUGCGCCCGAGACUGCUUCUCUUGAGUCCCGGAGAGGAAGAUGGAAUUCCCGGUGUAGCGGUGAAAUGUGUAGAGAUCGGGAGGAACACCGGUGGCGAAGGCGGUCUUCUGGACGGUGACUGACGCUGAGGCGCGAAAGCGUGGGGAGCAAACGGG
rnacentral:rRNA from 1 species